CUUGUCAGAGUGCCAAACGCCAUUUUACAGCUCGACGGAGCAGGAGGACAACAGGCAGGGGGAGACACAUCCUAAUGAACACGUGGUGAUCAGAGAUCUGACCCUAACAUACCAGCAGACGGAGAAGAUGAGUGGUUUAAAAGAUGAGGAAGAGGACACAUCUCCAGUCCCCAGCUGUCUGUCUCUGAAGUGUGACUGGUCUAGAGAUCCACCUCCAUACUUCAGUAAUGAACCUGGACCCUCAGACACAAAAGGGAAGAGGAAGAGUGGUGUUCCUGUGGAGGAGCAGCUGUCCAGC